UACGUAGGUGGCAAGCGUUGUCCGGAAUUAUUGGGCGUAAAGCGCGCGCAGGCGGUCCUUUAAGUCUGAUGUGAAAGCCCCGGGCUCAACCUGGGAAUGGCCGUUGAAACUGGGAGACUGGAGUGUAGGAGAGGAAAGUGGAAUUCCACGUGUAGCGGUGAAAUGCGUAGAGAUGUGGAGGAACACCAGUGGCGAAGGCGACUUUCUGGCCUAUAACUGACGCUGAGGCGCGAAAGCGUGGGGAGCAAACAGG
rnacentral:rRNA from 1 species